GUCUGAGUGGCUCAGUUGGUUAGAGCGUUGGUCUCAUACUUGUAUGACUCGGUGGGUCACCACUGGGAUAUCCAAUCCAAAGGUCGGGAGUUCGAGUCUCCCCUCGGACA